rnacentral:misc_RNA from 1 species
AACGCACAUUGCGCCCGCCAGUAUUCUGGCGGGCAUGCCUGUUCGAGCGUCAUUUCAACCAUCAAGCCCCCGGCUUGUGUUGGGGACCUGCGGCGCGCCCGCAGGCCCUGAAAACCAGUGGCGGGCUCGCUGACCACACCGAGCGUAGUAGCAUUUCUGUCUCGCUCAGGGCGUGCGGCGGGUUCCGGCCGUGAAACCCACCCCCCAAGGGGUACCCAAAGGUUGACCUCGGAUCAGGUAGGAAGACCCGCUGAACUUAA